GGGUGUUUAGCUCAGUGGUAGAGCAUUGCACAGGCGGUGCAAAGGUCGGAAGUUCGAAUCUUCUAACAUCCA